ACUAAAUAGAUACCCAGGUAGUCCACGCCCUAAACGAUGUCUACUAGUUGUCGGGUCUUAAUUGACUUGGUAAACGCAGCUAAACGCGUGAAGUAGACCGCCUGGGGAGUACGGUCGCAAGAUUAAAACUCAAAGGAAUUGACGGGGACCCGCACAAGCGGUGGAUGAUGUGGAUUAAUUCGAUGCAACGCGAAAAACCUUACCUACCCUUGACAUGGAUGGAAUCCCUGAGAGAUUGGGGAGUGCUCGAAAGAGAACCAUUACACAGGUGCUGCAUGGCUGUCGUCAGCUCGUGUCGUGAGAUGUUGGGUUAAGUCCCGCAACGAGCGCAACCCUUGUCAUUAGUUGCUACGAAAGGGCACUCUAAUGAGACUGCCGGUGACAAACCGGAGGAAGGUGGGGAUGACGUCAAGUCCUCAUGGCCCUUAUGGGUAGGGCUUCACACGUCAUACAAUGGUACAUACAGAGGGCCGCCAACCCGGCGAGGGGUAGCUAAUCCCAGAAAGUGUAUCGUAGUCC
rnacentral:rRNA from 1 species